rnacentral:rRNA from 1 species
UAGCUUGUUGGUGAGGUAAUGGCUCACCAAGGCGACGAUCGGUAGCUGGUCUGAGAGGAUGGCCAGCCACACUGGGACUGAGACACGGCUCAGACUCCUACGGGAGGCAGCAGUGGGGAAUAUUGGACAAUGGGGGAAACCCUGAUCCAGCAAUGCCGCGUGUGUGAAGAAGGCCUGAGGGUUGUAAAGCACUUUCAGUGGGGAGGAGGAUUAACAGGUUAAGAGCUGGUUAAUUGGACGUUACCCACAGAAGAAGCACCGGCCAACUCCGUGCCAGCAGCCGCGGUAAUACGGGGGGUGCGAGCGUUAAUCGGAAUUACUGGGCGUAAAGGGUGCGUAGGUGGUUUAAUAAGUUAUCUGUGAAAGCCCUGGGCUCAACCUGGGAAGGUCAGAUAAGACUGUUAGACUAGAGUAUAGGAGAGGGUAGUGGAAUUUCCGGUGUAGCGGUGAAAUGCGUAGAGAUCGGAAGGAACACCAGUGGCGAAGGCGGCUACCUGGCCUAAUACUGACACUGAGGCACGAAAGCGUGGGGAGCAAACAGGAUUAGAUACCCUGGUAGUCCACGCCGUAAACGAUGUCAACUAGCUGUUGGUCAUAUAAAUAUGAUUAGUGGCGC